CCAGGAUACGCCGCCUGCCCCGCGAGUCCUCGGCCCGCGUCCGCAUCCGGUAACCGUGCCUCCCGCCCCCUCAGCGGCGCCUUAUAUGUCGCCCACGGCCGCCGCUGGGCCAUGGAGCGCGCCCGCCGGCCCCCGCGAUGAAGCUGCCAGAGCGGCUGCUGCUAGACAGACUCGCCUACCUGGAGUGCGUCCUGGGCGUCCUGUCCUUCCUGGUGCUCAGGCUGGCUCGCCCGCCCUACGGGCGCUACGUGCCGCCGAGCUCCGCGUUCCAGCUGCCGGCGCGGGUCGCCUGGGCUGUGCAGGAGCUACCCUCGCUGGUCGUGCCGCUCGUCGUGUGCUGCUGCGCGGAGACCGAGCGCCUCCACAGCUGGCCCAACCGCAUCCUGCUGGCUAUGUUCCUCGUCCACUACACGCAACGGUCCUUAAUUUUCCCAUUUCUGAUCCGAGGAGGAAAGCCAACACCAGUGAGGACAUGUAUAGUGGCAUUCACGUUCUGUACCUAUAAUGGCUACUUGCAAAGCAGAUACUUGAGCCAGUGUGCAGUGUAUGCUGAUGAUUGGGUCACUGACCCCCGAUUCCUAGCAGGUUUUGUCUUAUGGUUAAUAGGUACUCUGAUAAACAUCCAUUCAGAUCAUAUCCUAAGGAAUCUCAGGAAACCAGGGGAGACUGGAUAUAAAAUACCACGGGGAGGCUUGUUUGAAUACGUAACCGCAGCCAACUACUUUGGUGAGGUCGUGGAGUGGUGUGGCUUUGCCCUUGCCAGCUGGUCCCCCCAGGCCGGGGCUUUCGCUCUGUUCACAGCCUGCAGCUUAUUCAGCAUAGCCCAGCAUCAUCACCACCUGUUCAUCAGACUUGAUGACAAAAAGCAAGAUUUGUGACCAUUUGGAAAGUGUUUCCUCAGCUCUCCAGGAUCUGUCUGCACCAAAGGAAGACUGCUGUGAGGGAAAUUUGGGAAUACUGAGCUGUUUGUGGUAUAUUGAAAAAUUUGAGGAUUAUCCGAAGUUCAGAAAAACUAUAAUUCCAUUUUUGUUUUAAAUCCAUUGUCAUCUUUGACUUGAAGCUUUUUGAUGGCUUUUCUCUAGGGAUUAUAUAAAUGAAUUAUCUAUGAUUUUGCCACUACAUCUUUUUGUCCUAAUUUGCUCUAGGAAUUUUUUCCCUAGUGAAUGUGUAAGCUACCUAAUAAUAAUGCAGGUUGAGGCACUAUGCUGCCUACCAGGUGGAAUGUGAAACGGGGCGAUUACUGCUGCCCACUUCUCUGAUUUUGGAUGUACCUUUUCUGGCUACAUGCAGCCACGUGUGCACAGGACCAGAAUUUGCGAGCCAUCUUUGAUGGCCUCUGUGGACCAAACUAUUUCACAACCCGUACAACAACUGACUCACGGUCACUUCUGAUGUUGCCUUCUCCCCCCAGAGGCGUGACCCAUCUCUGCUGUCCCUUAUCCCACUGAAUCAGAGAGACCUGGGGCACUGGUCACAGCCUCAGGGAAACCCUGGGCCCUCACCCUUGGGGGCUGUGCAGGCAAGGACGCAGAAGCACAGCUGAGGCCUGGACCAAAGGCAUCCAGCACUUGGCUCUGGCCUCGCCUGUCAGGUGACUUCACCAGCAGGGCGGCAAGCGGAGGGCAUGCAUCAGGAGCUUGCCCAAAGGGACCUGUCACUCCACAGUGGCAGUGCCAAGGUGCAACGUGGCAGGCCCCUUCUCCGGCCUCAUCAUAAGCCAGCAGUGAGCAGGCUCCACUCUGAGACGGUCAUCUUCCUUUUCUCCUUCCUUUUGGUGUAAUGAAGUUUUUAAGGCACUUUUUUUUUUAAGUGCCCCUCAAUGUUGCAAAACGAUAUUUUGGAACAGAAUUCCUUACUGCAGAUGCACAUGAAAUAUCCCCAGAGAUAAAUGGCAGUAAUACAAUUUGCUGCAGAGCCACAGACCCUAAGAGAAAUGGAAACAAAGAAAUGGAUUUGGGUUCUCUGCAGUCACUAGGGUGCUGGCUGGCAGGAGGCCUCGGGGUGCCCAGAAGCUGUGUGUUCUGUGGAUGCACCUCCUGCCACUUUGGGCAGUGGGCAGGCCCCCCUGGCUAGGUCAUUGGCUCCCUCCAGCCUUCUCUUGGCUCACCUUCCCAACAAGGCCUCCCCAGCCCCUCACGAGCCCUGACAUAGAAACUGUAUUCUCAGUGUUGGGGGAUUUAGAGUCUCUUAUGGGCUUAGAAUAACACAAAAAACUCUCCUGAUGUCCUUGUGCUUCAUUUUAACUAAAAAUAAUGUUUUGGCAAAGAGAUUUUUAUUAUUAAGUAAAUGUUGGGCCUUUUUCUGACCAAAUAGUUACUUGAAAACAUAAAGCAAUAAAUGCUUUGGAACUCCUCAGGAAAACGCAAAAGUCCAAGGGAGAUUGGGGCCCAUGUCCUGGAAGGUAUACCUGGCCAGGAGAAGGCAGCAUGCCUGAGCACCGGAAACGCUGCUGUGAAGUGUACGGCAGUUGGUGAUUAGUUUAUCACGCUUACUACUGUAAUGGCAUGCACUGCGGGGGAUUCACAUGAAGAAAUCCUAUUCUAUCUUGUCUCACCGCUGUCUGUAUCCUAAAACCUCUUAACUUGGUAAAUUGUCAUCAAUCAUUCAGUUAAUUUUAAUAAUCGAGAUUAAUAAAAUUGCUGCUACAAGUCUA